GACGAACGCUGGCGGCGUGCUUAACACAUGCAAGUCGAACGGAAAGGCCCUGCUUUUGUGGGGUGCUCGAGUGGCGAACGGGUGAGUAACACGUGAGUAACCUGCCCUUGACUUUGGGAUAACUUCAGGAAACUGGGGCUAAUACCGGAUAGGAGCUCCUGCUGCAUGGUGGGGGUUGGAAAGUUUCGGCGGUUGGGGAUGGACUCGCGGCUUAUCAGCUUGUUGGUGGGGUAGUGGCUUACCAAGGCUUUGACGGGUAGCCGGCCUGAGAGGGUGACCGGCCACAUUGGGACUGAGAUACGGCCCAGACUCCUACGGGAGGCAGCAGUGGGGAAUAUUGCACAAUGGGCGGAAGCCUGAUGCAGCAACGCCGCGUGCGGGAUGACGGCCUUCGGGUUGUAAACCGCUUUCGCCUGUGACGAAGCGUGAGUGACGGUAAUGGGUAAAGAAGCACCGGCUAACUACGUGCCAGCAGCCGCGGUGAUACGUAGGGUGCGAGCGUUGUCCGGAUUUAUUGGGCGUAAAGGGCUCGUAGGUGGUUGAUCGCGUCGGAAGUGUAAUCUUGGGGCUUAACCCUGAGCGUGCUUUCGAUACGGGUUGACUUGAGGAAGGUAGGGGAGAAUGGAAUUCCUGGUGGAGCGGUGGAAUGCGCAGAUAUCAGGAGGAACACCAGUGGCGAAGGCGGUUCUCUGGGCCUUUCCUGACGCUGAGGAGCGAAAGCGUGGGGAGCGAACAGGCUUAGAUACCCUGGUAGUCCACGCUGUAAACGGUGGGUACUAGGUGUGGGGUCCAUUCCACGGGUUCCGUGCCGUAGCUAACGCUUUAAGUACCCCGCCUGGGGAGUACGGCCGCAAGGCUAAAACUCAAAGGAAUUGACGGGGCCCCGCACAAGCGGCGGAGCAUGCGGAUUAAUUCGAUGCAACGCGUAGAACCUUACCUGGGUUUGACAUGGAUCGGGAGCGCUCAGAGAUGGGUGUGCCUCUUUUGGGGUCGGUUCACAGGUGGUGCAUGGCUGUCGUCAGCUCGUGUCGUGAGAUGUUGGGUUAAGUCCCGCAACGAGCGCAACCCUUGUUCACUGUUGCCAGCACGUUAUGGUGGGGACUCAGUGGCGACCGCCGGGGUCAACUCGGAGGAAGGUGGGGAUGACGUCAAGUCAUCAUGCCCCUUAUGUCCAGGGCUUCACGCAUGCUACAAUGGCUGGUACAGAGAGUGGCGAGCCUGUGAGGGUGAGCGAAUCUCGGAAAGCCGGUCUCAGUUCGGAUUGGGGUCUGCAACUCGACCUCAUGAAGUCGGAGUCGCUAGUAAUCGCAGAUCAGCAACGCUGCGGUGAAUACGUUCCCGGG
rnacentral:rRNA from 1 species